GGCCUCCCAAUUCUAACCACAGGCUGUGUUCUUUACACUGACUAGUUGAGGAGGUACAGUAAAAACACCUCAUAUAUACACCUCAACCCAGGCCCUUUGCCUGGUCUGUAUUGCAAAUUGGGGGACAAAA